rnacentral:lncRNA from 10 species
GAUGGGCACGGUGGCUCACGCCUGUAAUCCCAGCACUUUGGGAGGCCGAGGUGGGCGGAUCACGAGGUCAGGAGAUCGAGACCAUCCUGGCUAACACGGUGCAACCCAUCUCUACUAUAAAUACAAAAAAAUUAGCCGGGUGUGGUGGUGGGCGCCUGUAGUCCCAGCUGCCACCAUGCCUGGCUAAUUUUUUUGUGAUUUUAGUAGAGAUGGGGUUUCACCUUGUUAGCCAGGAUGGUCUCGAUCUCCUGACCUCGUGAUCCGCCAGC